UCACUACUUGCGUAGGCAGUCUGGCUAGAGUUCCCACCAUUACGUGCUGGUAACUAACCACAGGGGUUGCGCUCGUUGCGCCACUUAAGGCAACACCUCACGGCACGAGCUGACGACAGCCAUGCAGCACCUUCCGGCCUGCCCCGAAGGGAAGCUCCUUUUCAGGAGCCGUCAAGCCGGAUUUAGCCCAGGUAAGGUUCUUCGCGUUGCAUCGAAUUAAGCCACAUGCUCCACCGCUUGUGCGGGCCCCCGUCAAUUCCUUUGAGUUUCAUUCUUGCGAACGUACUCCCCAGGUGGUGUGCUUACUGCGUUAACUGCGUCACUGACCCCGAAAGGCCAACAACUAGCACACAUCGUUUACGGCGUGGACUAC
rnacentral:misc_RNA from 1 species